CGUAGGGUGCAAGCGUUAAUCGGAAUUACUGGGCGUAAAGCGUGCGCAGGCGGUUUUAUAAGUCUGAUGUGAAAUCCCCGGGCUCAACCUGGGAACUGCAUUGGAGACUGUAAGGCUAGAGUGUGUCAGAGGGGGUAGAAUUCCACGUGUAGCAGUGAAAUGCGUAGAUAUGUGGAGGAAUACCGAUGGCGAAGGCAGCCCCCUGGGAUAACACUGACGCUCAUGCACGAAAGCGUGGGGAGCAAACAGGAUUAGAUACCCUGGUAGUCCACGCCCUAAACGAUGUCAACUGGUUGUUGGGUCUUUACUGACUCAGUAACGAAGCUAACGCGUGAAGUUGACCGCCUGGGGAGUACGGCCGCAAGGUUG
rnacentral:rRNA from 1 species